GUGUUUUGGCAGCACAUAUACUAAAACUGGAAGGAUACAGGGAGGAUUAGCAAGGCUCCUGAGCAAGGACGACACCCACAUUUAUGAAGUGUUCCAUAAAAAA